rnacentral:rRNA from 1 species
GACGAACGCUGGCGGCGUGCCUAAUACAUGCAAGUAGAACGCUGAAGGAGGAGCUUGCUUCUCUGGAUGAGUUGCGAACGGGUGAGUAACGCGUAGGUAACCUGCCUGGUAGCGGGGGAUAACUAUUGGAAACGAUAGCUAAUACCGCAUAAUAGCAGUUGUUGCAUGACAACUGUUUGAAAGGUGCAAUUGCACCACUACCAGAUGGACCUGCGUUGUAUUAGCUAGUUGGUGGGGUAACGGCUCACCAAGGCGACGACACAUAGCCGACCUGAGAGGGUGAUCGGCCACACUGGGACUGAGACACGGCCCAGACUCCUACGGGAGGCAGCAGUAGGGAAUCUUCGGCAAUGGACGGAAGUCUGACCGAGCAACGCCGCGUGAGUGAAGAAGGUUUUCGGAUCGUAAAGCUCUGUUGUAAGAGAAGAACGAGUGUGAGAGUGGAAAGUUCACACUGUGACGGUAUCUUACCAGAAAGGGACGGCUAACUACGUG